rnacentral:snRNA from 1 species
AUACUUACCUGGAGUAGGGGUUACCGUGAUCAACAAGGCGGUUUCCCCAGGGUGAUGGCCCUCCAUUGCACAUCGGUUGGGCUGAGCCCUGCGAUUAUCCCUAAUGUGGAUAACUCGGGCGCGUAAUUUUUGGUAGUCGGGACUGCGUACGCGCUGUCACGGU